UGAUAAUCACUUGAACUCUAUACGUGAUGU
rnacentral:piRNA from 1 species